AUGACUUUCAGCUUCAGUGUUUCAGAGUCUGUCUGUCAGUCAUCCACGUGUUGCGCUGCGCGUCUCGCGUCCUGGCGGUUGAUUCACCGGGAAGUUUCGAUGCUCCGGGAAUAACAGCACAAACCAGAGCCCUGACAGGAGCCGCGAGCGGACUGGACUUUUCCAUGUUUGACACAUUAACCAACAGCAGAUUGUGCUGAAGUGUUACUGAGGCAGGUAGAGUGACGGAACGCUGUAAACUGCGGAAGGGUCACAUAUGGAGCAGCCUGGGCUUUCUCCAAUAUAGAGUGACAUUCAAAAGUUUAAGGCUGGUUACAUGAGGGUGAACAGACGAUAAUAUCCUCUCUAUCCCCUUAAAUCUGUUUCUUCGCAAAACACAUUCAUUUGAUGGGAAUUCGACAACAAACAAAACCCCUGUGAACAAGUCGGCACUCGACGGCUCAUGAAUUUCAGAUGAAGAUCCUUUGAAUCAUAUUUACAGAGCUCUCUCUGAUAACACCACGUCGGGUCAUUGUGGCGGCUCUGGGGUCUUAGUUUGUUUUGCCGCCAGUUUUUGUGAUGUCAUAAUGGGUCAUUUGCUAUUUUCAUGGAUCAAAUGUGGCGUGUAUUAGCGCCGAUCAAAGCACGCUUUGUGCGUGUCGGUGUGUUUGAGGUGUGGCAGUGCGGUGGGAGUGUCUUUCAGAGGCGAAGGGACACCCGGAUUUUCUCCCUGAGAGAUUAAGGCAGAGGCCAGGCCUCCUCGCUGGGUGCAGACAGAUUAGGAAACUCCCGGCUCAGACACGGAUCGUGUCAAGUGUGGUGACGGAGUGUGUACUUGUGUGUGUGUGUGUGUGUGUGUUUGCGUGAAGGACUCUUGAUCACGCCAACCGCUGUGUUACUUUCCCAAUUGCCUGUCAUCAUGCACCCAGCACAAUCCCAGAACUUCUGUCGAAGAUGUGCUGAAGGUGCCAUUAAAAAUGCAUUACUUUUUUUGAUAUCCCGUACAUUUUCCCAACAGGGUUUCCGGGAGGGCACCUCUUCCUUUCCAAACAAUAGCAAAAUCUCCAUAUAAGCUGUAAUACAUUUUUUUUUUUUUGUUCUAGAAUCAGGAAUCUCGAUUUCUUUGAAGCC